UAAUACAGAGAUGUAGGCAAAAAGUCAUAUUGGUGCAACUUAUUUUUUCAAAGGUCUGAAAGAUUUUUGCUGUUGAGCCCCUGUUGACCCUUCACCACCCAUCGUCUGUGUAUUGUUUAUGUACUAAUUAAUGCAUUUAAUUACUGGAGUACUACUACCUGGCCACAAGAUUCCUAUGCAUUAGUUAGUUUGAUUAUAACUUUAUUUCAAAAUAUGUACCAUGUAAAAUUCCAAAAAUUUGCAGGCAAUCAAAUGACCAAACCCCAAUUAUAUGCAGUUCACCUGGAGCAUUUAGGAGUUUGGGGACCCUUUGGCUUUUCUUUGGAAAUCUAGCUUCAGGUAUUAACCAUAAAUUAUAUGCUGUAAAAUGCAGUAUCAUGUUUUAAGCGUUUGCAAAUAAAUGCAUUCAGUAUGAUUUAUUAGCAAACGUUUAUUCAUGUGGUUGAGUUACACUGAAUCGUGUCAUUUGCAAAGAUACAUGAUGUACUUAUCUGGUUUAAAUAAAUGUUACUUUUCACCAAUUA